rnacentral:rRNA from 1 species
CACGUAGGGUGCGAGCGUUGUCCGGAAUUAUUGGGCGUAAAGAGCUCGUAGGCGGUGUGUCGCGUCGGCCGUGAAAACCUGCAGCUUAACUGUGGGCUUGCGGUCGAUACGGGCAUCACUGGAGUUCGGCAGGGGAGACUGGAAUUCCUGGUGUAGCGGUGAAAUGCGCAGAUAUCAGGAGGAACACCGGUGGCGAAGGCGGGUCUCUGGGGCCGAUACUGACGCUGAGGAGCGAAAGCGUGGGGAGCGAACGG